rnacentral:rRNA from 1 species
CUACGGAGGCAGCAGUGGGGAAUAUUGGACAAUGGGCGAAAGCCUGAUCCAGCCAUGCCGCGUGUGUGAAGAAGGCCUUCGGGUUGUAAAGCACUUUCAGUGGGGAAGAAAGCCUUGGGGCUAAUACCCUCGAGGAAGGACAUCACCCACAGAAGAAGCACCGGCUAACUCCGUGCCAGCAGCCGCGGUAAUACGGAGGGUGCGAGCGUUAAUCGGAAUUACUGGGCGUAAAGCGCGCGUAGGCGGUCUGAUAAGCCGGUUGUGAAAGCCCCGGGCUCAACCUGGGAACGGCAUCCGGAACUGUCAGGCUAGAGUGCAGGAGAGGAAGGUAGAAUUCCCGGUGUAGCAGUGAAAUGCGUAGAGAUCGGGAGGAAUACCAGUGGCGAAGGCGGCCUUCUGGACUGACACUGACGCUGAGGUGCGAAAGCGUGGGUAGCAAACAGGAUUAGAUACCCCGGUAGUC